UGACCUGUGGUGAAAUGGCAUCACAUCGGAUUGUUAAUCCGAAGUUCUCGGUUCGAGACCGAGCGGGUCAG
rnacentral:tRNA from 1 species